rnacentral:rRNA from 1 species
UCAAGAGCCAUAUCACCUUGCAGCUCUCACUUGGUUUCCCACUAAGGCUAAGCAGGGUUGAAUCUGGCCAGUACCUAGAUGGGAGACCUCCUGGGGAAAACUAAGGUUGCUGCUAGAA